CCUACGAGAGGCUGCAGUAGGGAAUAUUGCACAAUGGGGGAAACCCUGAAGCAGCAACGCCGCGUGGAGGAUGAAGGUUUUCGGAUUGUAAACUCCUUUUGUUAGAGAAGAUAAUGACGGUAUCUAACGAAUAAGCACCGGCUAACUCCGUGCCAGCAGCCGCGGUAAUACGGAGGGUGCAAGCGUUACUCGGAUUCACUGGGCGUAAAGAGCGCGUAGGCGGGAGAGCAAGUCAGAAGGGAAAGGCUAUGGCUUAACCAUAGAACUGCAUUUGAAACUGUUAGUCUAGAGUGUGGGAGAGGUAGGUGGAAUUCUUGGUGUAGGGGUAAAAUCCGUAGAGAUCAAGAGGAAUACUCAUUGCGAAGGCGACCUGCUAGAACAUAACUGACGCUGAUGCGCGAAAGCGUGGGGAGCAAACAGGAUUAGAUACCCUUGUAGUC
rnacentral:rRNA from 1 species